ACCAGUUCCUCCGGGAAAUCGUACGUGCGGCUGUAAUUCGACUUCUUGGAACUGCUUCCAGACGACGGCGUCCUCAUCUUCCAGAUGGCGCCUGGUUUAUUCACACGCUUCGACUGGACGAUCUUAAAACAAACGCCUCCCAACCAAUCACCACUCACGAUUUCAACGCUUGCGCCCAGUCGUGCUUAGAGUAGUUGAGAUUUUGAUCUAAAAAACGCUUCUCCAUAAACAUUCCAAGAAACUUAAACAAUUCACACAACUCCUAUUCAUUCUUUUAUCUUUUCUCACCCAUCAUUUCUUGCUACGCUCUCUCCCUCCCUCUACUUCCACCGCUGAGAAAGAGAGAGAGAAAAAGAUUUAUGAGAAAGGCUCCAGAGCCUUGCUUCUCUCCCCAGAAACCACGGCAAGGAUCGCCCCACGUAGUAGGAGAAGGCACAGCCGUCGUUGUUUGUGGGAACGUUUUUCUCGUUUGGCUUUCCCGGGAAAUUUAGAAAAAGAGAGGCAGCCAACAGAGUGGUGUUUUGUGUUGUUUUUUUUUUUCUUCUUUCCUUUCUUUCUUAAUGGACAACAGCUAGUUUAUGUUUUUUAUAUGGUGAGGUCAAAACUCUCUGCCCA